CUUACCAGCUUUACUUUAUUGCUAACGUGGUUUUGGAUAAUAUAUCGUUAUAUGUACCCACCUUGUGAUGAAGAAAAUGAUUUGAAGCCCACGGAUUCACAGCCCGACAUAAAAGCCUCCUUGGAAGGAUGCGACUCAAAAGCUGUCAUUCAAAGUAACAGAUUUGUUAUCUUUCAUAAGACGUACUGCCAAACGUCUUUCACAUUUUCAAUCAACCGAAAAGGAGCAGUCUGAAAAUGUUGAAGAAAAUGUUGGACUGCUACAAGAUGUCGAUGAUGUCGUGCAGGAUAACGUCAACGUGUCUAGUAAAGAUGAUCAACAAUUCCAGAAUGUCGUUCAUCAAUACGCGACAUCUUCUGCUGACCAAUCACAAGAAAA